CAAGACCUAGCAAUGCAAUGUCCUAACAGAUUUCUCAAGCGAGCAAGAACUGCCACCAAUUCCUAAGGGCUCAAUCUCGUAGGUGAUUCGAGAAGGUGCACACUGCUGCACCUGCGUGCAGAUCAGAAGACAGCUCCGGCAGUCAGAUUUCCCCCCCUGCCCCGGGUGCCACAGGAAGUCAGACCCAGGAAAUCAGGAUGGCACAAGAACCACCUGCUGAGCCACCUUGCUGGCCCUUAUUUUUAAAACAAAGAAAAAUAAUCACUAUCAAAUGAGGCCUAGAGUCUUUCUCAAGAUCUUCGUAUGUGGAACCUAAACCCAAACAACCAAAUAAGAUUUUGUGUCAACUAAUGAUUUCAUAAAGGAAUUAAAAGAUCAGCAAUGAUUAUGCUAAGUCUUGAAAUAAGUAAAUAUUUAAUAAAACACCUUGGAGCAAUA